UAGUUCCCUAAAACAAGGAUAAUUACACUCGAUUUGGUAGGGCGUAAAAUAUUUUUUUAAAAGAUUAUUUUCCUCUAUUUUCAAUUAUACAUUGUUUGGUUUGCAAAGGAGUGUAAGAUCAUUUUUCCUUGGAGUAAAAUUGCUCUAUCAAUAAUGGAAAAAACCAUUUUCCUUCCAAAAUGAAGGGAAAACUGUUUUUCUUAUCUCUCUUGAUUCUUGUACACUCCUCUCACUAUCUCCUUACUUUCCCUUUCAUUUUACUCUCUCUUUAUCAUUUUUCUUACAUGCAACCAACACAACGGAAAACUAAUUUUGGAAAUGUGUUUUCCAUUGUAAAUUGUUUUGUACGAAAAUCAUUUUACACUGAAAAUGUUUUACGCUCCACCAAACGGAACCUUAAUAAUUGAUAUUCUGAAUACGAAAAAUAUAGUUGAUACUCGGAAAAUGAAUUUGGGACUAUUAGAAUAUUACUGAUAAUAAAAAUAUGAUAAAAUACACUACAAGAAAAGGCCAAAACAACGACGGCUUCACUGCGACGGUUCUAAAAACGGUUGUUAUUCUUGUAGUCAGCGACGGUUUAAAACGGUCGUUGCCACCGACGGCUUUUAGAGUGAUCAGCGACGGAUAAACCGUCGUUGUUUAUCAACGACCGUUUAGAACAGUCGUUAGUUUUAUUAUUAUAAUUUUUAGAUUUUUUCAAUUUAAGGAACUGUGUUAAACGGUCGCUGAUGAGUGAUGACAAAACAAAGUUUCGUGUUCUUCAGAUCUGCUCUCUCUCUCCUCAUUCCUCCCUCUCCUUACUCAACCGGUCAACCCUAAUCCCUCAUCUCUCUCCUCUUCAGAUCUGCUCCUUCCUCCUCCCUCUCAAUCCAACAGAGCAACGAACGCUUAUUGAAGAGAUAGAGACUGAGGAGAGAGAAAGUGAAACGGAAAAAAGAGAAUCCAAAAAAAGGGUUUCAACUCCAUCUCUAAGAAGGGUUUAGGUGGGAAAUUCAUGAGUCCCUCGGCUGUGAAAAUGGAGGAAUCAAAGCCUGCAAUUUUGAACAGUGAGAACGGUUGUGAAAUCGGAGCUCGAUUCACUGAAAUCUGCAAUGUUCAAUGUCUUCUUAUCGACAGCACCACCUGACCAUCUCACCAAGUUGUACAUACACAAGCCCAUUAUUUAUCUGAUGAUGCAGCAAGCCAUCAAGGAAGGAAGUUAGUCCCUGCUGCAAAACAUUUUUGUAAUUUAUGAGAGUUAGAAUAUGUGAAGAAAUGUGACUUUGAAGCUUUUGUUGUCACAACAUACUUAUGAUCUUUGUGGUCAUCUUCAAUCUUGCGUCUUCUGACUUUUAGGGUUUUUGUGUAAA